rnacentral:rRNA from 1 species
UACGUAGGGGGCUAGCGUUGUCCGGAAUCAUUGGGCGUAAAGCGCGUGUAGGCGGUCCGGUAAGUCCGCUGUGAAAGUCGGGGGCUCAACCCUCGAAUGCCGGUGGAUACUGUCGGGCUAGAGUGCGGAAGAGGCGAGUGGAAUUCCGAGGUGUAGCGGUGAAAGUGACGUGAGAGUAUCUGGAGGAACACCGGUGGCGAAGGCGGCAUCCUGGACCGGUAUUGACGCUGAUGCGCGAAAGCCAGGGGAGCCAAAGCAGG